rnacentral:rRNA from 1 species
GAUGAACGCUAGCUACAGGCUUAACACAUGCAAGUCGCGGGGCAGCAUGGGGGUUGCUUGCAAUCCCCGAUGGCGACCGGCGCACGGGUGAGUAACGCGUAUCCAACCUGCCCUUCACCACGGGAUAACCCGGCGAAAGUCGGACUAAUACCGUAUGUUGUCCAUUGACGGCAUCCGAUUUGGACGAAAGGCUUGGCGGUGAGGGAUGGGGAUGCGUCCGAUUAGCCAGACGGCGGGGUAACGGCCCACCGUGGCUACGAUCGGUAGGGGUUCUGAGAGGAAGGUCCCCCACACUGGAACUGAGACACGGUCCAGACUCCUACGGGAGGCAGCAGUGAGGAAUAUUGGUCAAUGGGCGUAAGCCUGAACCAGCCAAGUAGCGUGCAGGAUUACGGCCCUAUGGGUUGUAAACUGCUUUUAUGCGGGGAUAAAGUGGCCCACGUGUGGGCUUUUGCAGGUACCGCAUGAAUAAGGACCGGCUAAUUCCGUG